rnacentral:rRNA from 1 species
GGACCUGAUCAGCAUGCCGCGUGAGUGAAGAAGGCCUUCGGGUUGUAAAGCUCUUUUGUCAGGGAAGAAACACCGGCUCUAACACAGCCCGGGAAUGACGGUACCUGGAGAAUAAGCACCGGCUAACUACGUGCCAGCAGCCGCGGUAAUACGUAAGGUGCGAGCGUUAAUCGGAAUUACUGGGCGUAAAGCGUGCGCAGGCGGUUAUACAAGACAGGCGUGAAAUCCCCGGGCUUAACCUGGGAAUGGCGCCUGUGACUGUAUAGCUAGAGUGUGUCAGAGGGGGGUAGAAUUCCACGUGUAGCAGUGAAAUGCGUAGAUAUGUGGAGGAAUACCAAUGGCGAAGGCAGCCCCCUGGGAUAACACUGACGCUCAUGCACGAAAGCGUGGGGAGCAAACAGGAUUAGAUACCCUGGUAGUCCACGCCCUAAACGAUGCUGACUAGUUGUUCGGGAUUUACAUCCUGAGUAACGUAGCUAACGCGUGAAGUCAGCCGCCUGGGGAGUACGGUCGCAAGAUUAAAACUCAAAGGAAUUGACGGGGACCCGCACAAGCGGUGGAUGAUGUGGAUUAAUUCGAUGCAACGCGAAAAACCUUACCUACCCUUGACAUGUCACUAACGAAGUAGAGAUACAUUAGGUGCUCGUAAGAG